rnacentral:rRNA from 1 species
AACGAACGCUGGCGGCAUGCCUAACACAUGCAAGUCGAACGAGAUCUUCGGGUCUAGUGGCGCACGGGUGCGUAACGCGUGGGAAUCUGCCCUUUGGUUCGGAAUAACAGCUGGAAACGACUGCUAAUACCGGAUGAUGACGAAAGUCCAAAGAUUUAUCGCCAGAGGAUGAGCCCGCGUAGGAUUAGCUAGUUGGUGUGGUAAAGGCGCACCAAGGCGACGAUCCUUAGCUGGUCUGAGAGGAUGAUCAGCCACACUGGGACUGAGACACGGCCCAGACUCCUACGGGAGGAAGCAGUGGGGAAUAUUGGACAAUGGGCGAAAGCCUGAUCCAGCAAUGCCGCGUGAGUGACGAAGGCCUUAGGGUUGUAAAGCUCUUUUACCCGGGAUGAUAAUGACAGUACCGGGAGAAUAAGCUCCGGCUAACUCCGUGCCAGCCGCCGCCGUAA